rnacentral:lncRNA from 1 species
CCUGUGUUGGCUAGCCUGGGCGCCUGGACAAAAGAUCCGAGAAGUUGCUGAAGUAAUAUGUGUACUAUGAGCCCACGGGCGGGAAGAGACCAUGACGUUCCUCGGAUCUUCAGAGGGCUCUCUGAUGCCAACCCAGCCCUGCGAUGACCUACAGUCACCUCUUCCGCCCUCCCACUGCCCAGUUCUACUCAGAGCCCUGGUGAUGGGAGGUGGGUCCCGGCAAGGCCACCAUGCCAUUUCCGGUGGUUGCUACUGGCUUUCCAGUAUCCUUCACUCAACAAGGGGGCCUUGAAAGGAGAAAAAUGAGCACCUAGCAUCUUCCACCCAGUGCACAGCAGGACAUGGAUCUGGGCCAGCAGCACCCAAAGCUCACCAGGGAUCCUUCUAUUGGUUCCAGACAAUUUUAAGAAGGGAAGG